rnacentral:ncRNA from 1 species
AUUAUGGCUCUUGGCCGGGACGUGUUCCCCAGUCCAACCCAUAGAGGAAUGCACCUUGCCUCUUGGUCAAAAAACAAAUUGGGUUAAUGUUGUGUGGUAGGUUGUAUUCUCGAAGCACAUAGAUUUC